GGGUUUUUUUAAUGGCCUUCGAACAGAACUUGCCACAUACCCAGGUAUAAUAGUUUCUAACAUUUGCCCAGGACCUGUGCAAUCAAAUAUUGUGGAGAAUUCCCUAGCUGGAGAAGUCACAAAGACUAUAGGCAAUAAUGGAGACCAGUCCCACAAGAUGACAACCAGUCGUUGUGUGCGGCUGAUGUUAAUCAGCAUGGCCAAUGAUUUGAAAGAAGUUUGGAUCUCAGAACAACCUUUCUUGUUAGUAACAUAUUUGUGGCAAUACAUGCCAACCUGGGCCUGGUGGAUAACCAACAAGAUGGGGAAGAAAAGGAUUGAGAACUUUAAGAGUGGUGUGGAUGCAGACUCUUCUUAUUUUAAAAUCUUUAAGACAAAACAUGACUGAAAAGAGCACCUGUACUUUUCAAGCCACUGGAGGGAGAAAUGGAAAACAUGAAAACAGCAAUCUUCUUAUGCUUCUGAAUAAUCAAAGACUAAUUUGUGAUUUUACUUUUUAAUAGAUAUGACUUUGCUUCCAACAUGGAAUGAAAUAAAAAAUAAAUAAU
rnacentral:lncRNA from 1 species